GUAUCAAUUUCAAUCUUGCAAAUCUUCUCAAAGAUUGAGAAUCAAAACAUAUCUUGCAAAAUUCUCUCUCUCUCUUCCUCUCCCCUCCCAAUCGACACUCUCUCUCUCUCCCUCAUCUCUCUCUUUCCUCCAUAGCCACCAUUGUUGAAGACCUCAAAAGCUUCAUAAAUUCAUACCGAGAGCUCAAAUCCACCCCUAAAUCUUACCUAAACACCUUCUAUCUACUUGAAUCCAAGAAGAUCCUUGAAGUUUGAGUUCAAAGCUAGAAAGAGAAAGUUUGAUAUUUGGUGUAAGUUUGGAUACGAGCAGAGGACGGAGGUAAGAUCGCCCAAGUACUACGAGAGUAAGCUAAGCUUGUCAGGCUAAGCGAGGAGCGAGAAUGGUCUGGUGCUGGUGGGGAUUUGUUUAGCUGAUGUAUUUACCUUAUCGCUUUUCCUUUUUGUCGAUAAAGUCUUGAUGAAUGAGAUACUUUGUUUUCUUUUGAAUCAAGCAAUGUACUCGCGGUUAUAUGUCUUCAUACAUAUAAUCGAUUCGCCUUUUGCUGCGAUACUCUGAAUAUUAUGAUUCCUUAUGAAAAAUGAACUAUACCCGCUUU